rnacentral:rRNA from 1 species
UACAGAGGGUGCAAGCGUUAAUCGGAAUUAUUGGGCGUAAAGGGCGCGUAGGUGGUUAUAUAAGUUAGAUGUGAAAUCCCUGGGCUCAACCUAGGAACUGCAUCUGAUACUGUAUAGCUGGAGUAUGAUAGAGGGUAGUGGAAUUUCCGGUGUAGCGGUGAAAUGCGUAGAUAUCGGAAGGAACACCAGUGGCGAAGGCGGCUACCUGGAUUAAUACUGACACUGAGGCGCGAGAGCGUGGGGAGCAAACAGG